GUCGAUAUGUACGAGUGGUUAAGGAGACAGACUUGAAAUCUGUUGGGCUUCGACCGCGCAGAUCCGAACCCUGCCGUCGACUCUUUUUUCUAUUAUUGUUAAUAAAAUUAUGUUUUAAUUGGGCUUCGACCGCGCAGGUUCGAACCCUGCCGUCGACG
rnacentral:tRNA from 1 species